rnacentral:lncRNA from 1 species
CCUGCCUGCUUCUACCACCUGUUUUUAGUACCAGGCUUUUUGAUUCGUUUCAGUUCCCGAAGAGCAGGGGGCAGCUGAGCAGGGAGCAGGGCAGGCAACAGUGGAAAGACCAGGGUGUUGUUUUUGUAGACAGGAGGCCUGGUUUUCGUCGGGCGUGAGGAGAUACCCAGGUGGUUUUUCUGCAGCCCCUCGUGCAGGCCUGGCCUGCUGGAAUGGAUUUCAAUUCUCCUUUGCCAAACUACACUUUCAAGAGGUGUCGGAUAUCGAAAACCUCUCCCCCGAGCCAAAGCAAGCAUUUGGGGGAGGAGAGGUCCAGAGGGGCGAGGGACGGUCGGAGAAGAUGCUGGUUAAAAAAAGAAGGCAGGAGCAGUAAGAAAAGUUCUUUCACGUGGCGUUCCAAUUUGGCUGUUGCUUUUUCAAAUAAUUGGUUAAAAACCGUGCAUCAAGCCAGUCAUAAGUAAAUGAGAAAGACAAGGAGGAGAUGGACAUGAUUCCUUGCUGGAGAUUUGCUCACCUGGCCUUUGUUUGGUGUCGCUCAGCUACUGGAACGAGUCGAGGAACAGGUACAGUCUUGCCCUCUGCCCUCUGCCUGGCCUGCUCCUCCCUCCACAGCCGUCCUCUGGGUUCUGGCUGCCAACUCAGCUCUGGCCUCUGCUGCCCCCUGAGCCGGGGCUGUGUCUCUCACCCCCCCUUGCCCGUCUGCAUCCCAGCUCUGGCUCUGCCUUGAUCAUUCUAGGAACUUUUCCAGUCCCAGAACUUUGAGCUUGUCCUUGCCUCCUGCUCAGCUCUGGGAACAGGACCUGCCCCCGCCUUGCCACAUGCUGACUGCUGUGUCCUGCUGUGUCCAGACAGUAUCUUCACGUGGCAAGAACUACCACUUACCUAGCAUCUGUGAGUCAUCCUCAUGCUCGACAUCUUCGGGCAAAUUACUGGACCUCUUGGACCUUAGUGUUCCCAGCUGUAAAUGGGGAUAACAUUAGCACCUAACUUAUGGUGUUGAUAUGUGGCUGAAUGAGUCACUGCACAUACAGUGCGCAGAACAGUGCCUAGAACAAUGUAAGUGUUGGUCAAACAAAAGUUAGUUCCUAUUAGCCCCAUGUUACAAGUGAGGAAACCAAGGCUCAGUAACUUGCCCCAGGCCACACAGUGAGUGGACUGGGCCUGGCACUACUUGUGGUUAAGGCCUAUGUGCUUCCCUCAUCCUCGGCAGCUACGGGCACUGUGCACCUGGCUGCCUGUGCCCAAAUGUUAUCAUGCUCACUGAGGCCAGAGCAGACUCCAGCACCCACAAAGGGGUCAGUGACCCCAAUGACCAGCAUUGUACCAGCCUAGGAGGGGGUCCUAGCCCAGAUCCCAGAUUUUACUGGGGCUAUCUGUAUCGUGUCCCUGAAACUGAUGAUGUUUGACUUCGGGAACAAGCAUGGGCUGAACCACCACAAUGAAAUGGCAGAAAAACUGGAGAGAAGUGCUUACACCAGACUAGAAUGUUCUCUCUGUUUGAGGAACAGGAGGAGAAGGAUGUCCAGAUGAAUUUAAAAUUCAGUGGCAGGUGGUACGCCCUGUGACUGGCAGUGGCCAGCCCAGUGAUGUGGCCAUCCGUUUGGCUGGAUCCCUGAAGCAGGCUGCCCACCUGGAGAGGAGGCAGUGUCCAUCACCCCGAGCAUUUGCCGGGACCUGGAAGCACCUCUGUGGAUCUCUCCUCAGCCCAGAGGGCCCCACAACUCAUUUCCAUAGGAACUCAACUAUGGUUGAGUUAAACAAACAAAUCGAUCUCCCAGGGCUUCAGUUUUCUCAUCUGUCAAUGGGGAAAAAAAUGCCUACUCCCUGGCCUUGGUGAUGAAGUAAGGCAAAGUGAGUAAAUAGCUUAGCACCAAGUUGGCACAGGAUAGCCUCUGUACAUAGGGGGUGCAAGAUAAUAACAAUGAUCAUGUUCCUUAAGGAAACUGAAGCUUUGGGAGGUAAAGUAACUUGUUCAAGGUCACCCAGCCGGUAAAUGGCAGAACUGGGCCUGGAGCCAGGUGUUCUGGUUUUCCCUUAGGAGAUCUUGCCCAGCUCCUGGCACUUGCCAUGGAAGCUGCUACCUUCUUUCAUGCCCAAUGUCUGAGGGCUUGGUUUUUGUGAGGAAGUAAGACGCAAGGGCCUGUUUUGAAUCCUGAAGACCUUUUGCCUUGAGCCUACAGAACCCAACCUAGCUCAGGAGGCAGCAUCUUAAGGUAAUUUGAGAAGAGUGAAUUUCCAGUUGGGGGACAACCGUAGACAGCUUGCAAGAAAAUUGCGUCUCUAAUGGGGGAUAUUCUUUUGAAAGGAUAAUGUGACUAGAAAAAGAAGGGAGCUGUGAGGGGGACAGGAAACAGAGCGAGCCUAGGCAAGGUGUUGACUGGCAUGUAGGGCGGGGGGUGGGGGGGGGGAGCGAGGCUUAAGGAGGGGUUGGAGGAGGCUUCUUGGCCCUGGGGCAAAGGCCGGGUGAAGGCCUCUGUCUGCAGCCUCCCCUCUGAGAGACUAUCUCCUUGCUCUGAAAAGCCAGUGGAAAGCUCUACCUGGUUUGUGCUCCUCGGAGUGUUUCCAAUUGCCAUGUGGAACUGCCAACAUUUUCCACAUUAAGAACAAAUCAAAAGAGAUUUUUCACUAAGCAUGAGUUAGUGGAAGGGAAUGAGAGCAAAUCAAAUUCAUACAAAAAUAGAGGAAAUUAAUUUUUAAAAAGCCCAACCAAACACCCUGUAAUUUCCAGUGAUUUCCUUUCAGGGAAACUGACCACUGUCACUAUAAACAAAGCUGAGAAUCAAUAAAUAAAAAGGGAAAGAAGGUUGUGCUUUUUUCUUUUUGCCUCCCUGAUGGAUGGUUUAUAGAGGCCUCAGGAUAAAAGUCAGCCUCUAAUUGGUCCCAGAUGGCGCCCGCCUCUGCCCUUGCUUCAGUGUUUCCCUGUGCCUCAGUCCAGGCUUGCCAGACAUGCUGGUGGUAACGGGAGCUGGACCCUCAUCCCCCAGCUGUGGCAGCAGCCAGAUGAAGAUGGGCACUAGAAGUCAGGGUCACCAAAACCUCAUUACCGCCAUGGAAAUGACAAGCUGCCAGAGCCAAUGCCUGUGUCUGGCCUGUGGGACUCGCACGCCUCCUUCUCUUGAGGUCCCACCACCAAGGGGAAGGCCUGGGCCAAGCAGAGGUCCUCUCCUAAUG